rnacentral:rRNA from 1 species
UACGUAGGGGCCGAGCGUUGUCCGGAGUUACUGGGCGUAAAGCGCGCGCAGGCGGCUCGUCAAGCCUGACGUGAAAGCCCCCGGCUUAACUGGGGAGGGUCAUUCGAUACUGCUCGACUUGAAGGCAGGAGAGGGUAGUGGAAUUCCCGGUGUAGUGGUGAAAUGCGUAGAUAUCGGGAGGAACACCAGUGGAGAAGGCGACUACCUGGCCUGUUCUUGACGCUGAGGCGCGAAAGCUGGGGGAGCAAACGGG